CACGCUGUGCUCUGUUGCGUCCCCACCCUCCAUCACGGAUCGACAACGAGGCCAGGUGGUGCGGCGUCGACAUGCUGGAGCCCGGAGGUGCGGGUCACAGGUAAUCGUGUGGGCCGAUUCAAGGCAGAGCUAAAAGAAGUUCAGUUUUACACCUUUGGAACGUUCAUGGUUGCUGAUGCACAGAAGAAAUAGUGAAAUACGGAGUAGUGGAUCAUUUGUACAGAAUCAAAGUUACUCAGUGCUAAAAAGUUUAGGAAUCCACAGCCUGGUAGCUUUCCUCUGUUUGCAUACACUGCAAGACAUUUGAUAUCCUGCAGAGGCUUACAGGAGACAAUACAAUCCUUUCAGGUAUUCACUUCAGUGCACAUGUGAUUCUGCUAGAUUAAAUUACACACUACCCCCGCAGUAUACUGAAGAUAGAGAACUAUAGAUAGAGAAGAAGCACUAGCGAGAUAGUAAUCUUGGAUCAGAAGUUUAAUUCUCCAACCUUUACCAGCAAAACUAAUAUGCAUAAUAUUGAGGACCUAUGUGCCUUACUUUCAAUAUCCUAUAGAAGUAAGUACUUGGCCAUCGAUGUAUAAUCACCUUAAUUAUCAACCAUUGUCGUCUCACCCAGUCCAGUGUAUAUAUGAAUUGCUUAUAUUAUGUGCCUCAUCGUAUUUGUGAUGAAGAGACACUAAUUCUGAAA